AUCGGCUAACUCCGUGCCAGCAGCCGCGGUAAUACGGAGGAUGCGAGCGUUAUCCGGAUUUAUUGGGUUUAAAGGGUGCGCAGGCGGUCUGUUAAGUCAGCGGUCAAAGCCCGGGGCUCAACCCCGGCCCGCCGUUGAAACUGGCAGUCUCGAGUUGGAGAGAAGUAUGCGGAAUGCGCGGUGUAGCGGUGAAAUGCAUAGAUAUCGCGCAGAACUCCGAUUGCGAAGGCAGCAUGCCGGCUCCACACUGACGCUGAGGCACGAAAGCGUGGGUAUCGAACAGGAUUAGAUACCCUGGUAGUCCACGCAGUAAACGAUGAAUGCUGGCUGUCCGGGGGGACUGACCCCUGGGUGGCGAAGCGAAAGCGAUAAGCAUUCCACCUGGGGAGUACGCCGGCAACGGUGAAACUCAAAGGAAUUGACGGGGGCCCGCACAAGCGGAGGAACAUGUGGUUUAAUUCGAUGAUACGCGAGGAACCUUACCCGGGCUCAAACGGGGAGUGACUCAGGCAGAGACGCCUGUUUCCCACGGGACACUCCCCGAGGUGCUGCAUGGUUGUCGUCAGCUCGUGCCGUGAGGUGUCGGCUUAAGUGCCAUAACGAGCGCAACCCCCGCGUGCAGUUGCUAACAGAUAACGCUGAGGACUCUGCACGGACUGCCGGCGCAAGCCGCGAGGAAGGCGGGGAUGACGUCAAAUCAGCACGGCCCUUACGUCCGGGGCGACACACGUGUUACAAUGGGUGGUACAGCGGGAAGCCAGGCGGCGACGCCGAGCGGAACCCGAAAUCCACUCUCAGUUCGGAUCGGAGUCUGCAACCCGACUCCGUGAAGCUGGAUUCGCUAGUAAUCGCGCAUCAGCCAUGGCGCGGUGAAUACGUUCCCGGGCCUUGUACACACCGCCCGUCAAGCCAUGGGAGCCGAGGGCGCUUGAAGUGCGUCGCCGCGAGGCGCGCCCUAGAGCGAAAUCGGUGACUGGGGCUAAGUCGUAACAAGGUAGCCGUACCGGAAGGUGCGGCUG
rnacentral:rRNA from 1 species